AUUGAACGCUGGCGGCAGGCCUAACACAUGCAAGUCGAGCGGAUGAAGGGUGCUUGCUCCUGGAUUCAGCGGCGGACGGGUGAGUAAUGCCUAGGAAUCUGCCUGGUAGUGGGUGAUAACGUCCGGAAACGGGCGCUAAUACCGCAUACGUCCUGAGGGAGAAAGUGGGGGAUCUUCGGACCUCACGCUAUCAGAUGAGCCUAGGUCGGAUUAGCUAGUUGGUGGGGUAAAGGCCUACCAAGGCGACGAUCCGUAACUGGUCUGAGAGGAUGAUCAGUCACACUGGAACUGAGACACGGUCCAGACUGCUACGGGAGGCAGCAGUGGGGAAUAUUGGCCGAUGGGCGAAAGCCUGAUACAGCCAUGCCGAGUGUGUGAAGAAGGUCUUCGGAUUGUAAAGCACUUUGAGUUGGGAGAAAGAGCAGUAAGUUAAUACCUUGCUGUUUUGACGUUACCAACAGAAUAAGCACCGGCUAACUUCGUG
rnacentral:rRNA from 1 species